rnacentral:rRNA from 1 species
AUAAUCUAGUAAUGUCGAGGCCUGCACAAACGGUGGAGCAGUUGGUUUAAUUAGAUGCAACGCGAGGAACAUUACCAGAUCUUGACAUCCACAGAACUUGCCAGAGAUGGAUUGGUGCCUUCGGGAACUGUGAGACAGGUGCUGCAUGGCUGUCGUCAGCUCGUGUUGUGAAAUGUUGGGUUAAGUCCCGCAACGAGCGCAACCCUUAUCCUUUGUUGCCAGCGGUCCGGCCGGGAACUCAAAGGAGACUGCCAGUGAUAAACUGGAGGAAGGUGGGGAUGACGUCAAGUCAUCAUGGCCCUUACGACCAGGGCUACACACGUGCUACAAUGGCGCAUACAAAGAGAAGCGACCUCGCGAGAGCAAGCGGUCCUCAUAAAGUGCGUCGUAGUCCGGAUUGGAGUCUGCAACUCGACUCCAUGAAGUCGGAAUCGCUAGUAAUCGUAGAUCAGAAUUCUACGGUGAAUACGUUCCCGGGCCUUGUCCCCCCCGCCCGUUCCACCAACCCAUUGGGAAGUGGGUUGCAAAGAAAGUUUAGGGUGGGCUAAACCGUUCGGGAGGGCGCUUCAA